rnacentral:lncRNA from 1 species
ACUUGGCGGCCCGUGGGCAGAGCCUUAAGUGCCAAGAAAGUCUCCGGGACUGGACCACCCGAGCCACUGCGCUUUUAGGCAGGUGGUAGGUUUCGCAAGGAGCUACCCUCCACCUUGUUUGCUUUAAGUAAAAGACUGAUGAGCAUUAGUGAUUCGUUUGAGCGUGUUGAUCUUUGCAGAUAAAUUUACGCCUCGUCCUAAAUUAUUUCAGAUUUUUGUGAUUUUGACCUAAAUUGUUCCUCCAUGCCCGAGAAUGAAUCUUUAAACUGUAAUAACAAAGACUGAAGGCCAAAGUUCCGAGUUCAAAAUCCUCCACCCGACCCUGCAAUGAAGGCAGCUUCAUUCAUUCAAAAUGAGUUGGGCAUUGGAGUAUUCAGUUAGUUGUUUUGGACACAAGGAUAAUUAAACUGCUUCCUGCUCUGGAGGAGUUCAUGCUAGUGGUGAAUUCAGAGAAUUUGACGAGAUCUAGUAGGUGAAGCACAGAGGACUACAAGAGCAAAUGGGAGUGACACCUAAUCUUAAUCCAGUUUUGGGAGACCCAGAUAAGGGACAGGAGGGCCGGGCGCAGUGGCUCAUACCUGUAAUCCUAACAUUUUGGGAGUCCGAGGCAGAAGGAUCGUUUAAGGCCAGGAGUUUGAGACCAGCCUAGGCAACAAAGUGAGACUUUGUCUCUACAAAAAAAAAAAAAUUUAAAUUAUAAAAAAAAACUGAUAAGAGGGCAGGGGGAGAUGGGUUUCUAGGCAGGGAAAUAGGAUAUGACAAACUAAGAAAAACUCAGCUUGUCCUAAGCAUAAAAUUAAAGGGGGGAAGAGGUAGCUAAUCUGGGAUCAGGUUUUAAAGGCUCCCAAGUCUUGUAAGAGACACGGACAUUAUCCUCAAAGCAGUGGGGAGCUUAUUUAAGAAAGUGAAAAGAGGCUGGGCAUGGUCUGUAAUCCCAGUACUUUGGGAGGUUUGAGGUCAGGAGUUUGAGAUCAGCCUGGCCAACAUGGUGAAACCCUGUCUCUACUAAAAAUGCAAAAAUUAGCUAGGCGUGGUGGUGCAUGCCUGUAAUCCCAGCUACUCAGGAGGCUGAGGCAGGAGAAUCACUUGAACCAAGGAGGCGGAGGUUG